GGGGUCAUAUAUGGAGGCAACGUUGGUCUCGGAUACUUGAAUGCAGUUUCCAAUGGAUCUGCCACUAACAACAAGUUAAUCAUGUUAAACAAUGGCAAUGACAUUCCAACUAACACACCGCCAAUAAUGAUUGCCGCGUGCUUGUUCCUCCUUGUUGCCCAGUACGCCAAAUCCAAUAACAUAGCUGACGGUAUCCAAACCGGUACUGUAAUAAAGUCAUAUGGAUAACCCAGUGCAAACCAAGCACCUUUUGCAACCCAAGUAUAGAUCGUCAUUAUAGUUGCAUAAUACGUAGCUGUUCCAGGAACACCCGUAAAUAACAUAUAGUAUAUAGCUCCUACUACAAGCAUUGUUGAUUGAGAAAUAGAGAAUACUACAAAAGAUGUCCAUGCCCAAUCAG
rnacentral:misc_RNA from 1 species